UACAGAGGUCUCAAGCGUUGUUCGGAUUCAUUGGGCGUAAAGGGUGCGUAGGUGGGUUGUUAAGUCAGUGGUGAAAUCUCCGGGCUUAACUCGGAAACUGCCAUUGAUACUAUCUUUCUUGAAUACCGUGGAGGUCAGCGGAAUAUGUCAUGUAGCGGUGAAAUGCUUAGAUAUGACAUAGAACACCAAUUGCGAAGGCAGCUUGCUACACUGUUAUUGACACUGAGGCACGAAAGCGUGGGGAUCAAACAGG
rnacentral:rRNA from 1 species